rnacentral:rRNA from 1 species
GACCCAAUGCAAAGUCGAGCGGUAGCACAGGGGAGCUUGCUCCCUGGGUGACGAGCGGCGGACGGGUGAGUAAUGUCUGGGAAACUGCCUGAUGGAGGGGGAUAACUACUGGAAACGGUAGCUAAUACCGCAUAACGUCGCAAGACCAAAGAGGGGGACCUUCGGGCCUCUUGCCAUCAGAUGUGCCCAGAUGGGAUUAGCUAGUAGGUGGGGUAAUGGCUCACCUAGGCGACGAUCCCUAGCUGGUCUGAGAGGAUGACCAGCCACACUGGAACUGAGACACGGUCCAGACUCCUACGGGAGGCAGCAGUGGGGAAUAUUGCACAAUGGGCGCAAGCCUGAUGCAGCCAUGCCGCGUGUGUGAAGAAGGCCUUCGGGUUGUAAAGCACUUUCAGCGAGGAGGAAGGUGGUGAACUUAAUACGUUCAUCAAUUGACGUUACUCGCAGAAGAAGCACCGGCUAACUCCGUGCCAGCAGCCGCGGUAAUACGGAGGGUGCAAGCGUUAAUCGGAAUUACUGGGCGUAAAGCGCACGCAGGCGGUUUGUUAAGUCAGAUGUGAAAUCCCCGGGCUCAACCUGGGAACUGCAUUUGAAACUGGCAAGCUAGAGUCUCGUAGAGGGGGGUAGAAUUCCAGGUGUAGCGGUGAAAUGCGUAGAGAUCUGGAGGAAUACCGGUGGCGAAGGCGGCCCCCUGGACGAAGACUGACGCUCAGGUGCGAAAGCGUGGGGAGCAAACAGGAUUAGAUACCCCUGGUAGUCCACGCUGUAAACGAUGUCGAUUUGGAGGUUGUGCCCUUGAGGCGUGGCUUCCGGAGCUAACGCGUUAAAUCGACCGCCUGGGGAGUACGGCCGCAAGGUUAAAACUCAAAUGAAUUGACGGGGGCCCGCACAAGCGGUGGAGCAUGUGGUUUAAUUCGAUGCAACGCGAAGAACCUUACCUACUCUUGACAUCCAGAGAACUUUCCAGAGAUGGAUUGGUUGCCUUCGGGAACUCUGAGAC